UUUCUGGUAUCCACAUCACCAGCUCGCGCUCCAAUAGCGCAAAGGACGGACGUAAAAUCCUCAGAGAACAAGGAACCGUUCGGUUUGGUGGGUUGUAAGUUCUGAUUUAAAAUCAUCUCUUCUCUGAAAAAAAUACUGGCCUUCCAUUUAAGGGGGUCUCAUCACUGGUCCAAGAAGAUCAAUUCUGAACAACUCUAAGGCAAUGCCCAUGUUGUGUGUUGAGGAAGUGAGGGCCUCAGACCAACCAUGCAGAGAAGCAGAAGCCCGCUAACAAGCAGGUUGUCUGAUCUCUUUGGGGGUGAAGAGGAGAAGAAGAUUGAAGGACAGUGGGUUAAUAGAGAAUGCAGCUCCCUCCCCAGCCCUGCGUAAUGAUGCUUCGAGUUUCCUCUCUCACAAGCAAGGUGAUGGAAACUCCGGGAAAAAGAGGCCCCAGGCUUGGACAAACCCCCAGAAAUCCUGCCAACAGAGGUCUCUUAGGCAGCCAAGAGAAUAUAACUGAAACAUAUUUCUUGUUGGAUCUUGGCCUUUGUGCUUUUGAGGCCCAAAUGAAACUAAGAAGGGAAAAAUAAAACAAGAUC